UGGAGGUAGUGACAAUAAAUCACAAUGCGGAACUAUUAGUUUUGCAAUUGGAUUGAGAACAAUGUACAAAUGUUAUCGAUAAACAAUUGGAGGGCAAGUCUGGUGCCAGCAGCCGCGGUAAUUCCAGCUCCSAAUAGCGUAUAUUAACGUUGUUGCAGUUAAAAAGCUCGUAGUUGAAUUGAAGUGAACUUGGGUUGAUGUGAUCUUCGGAUGACAUGAAUCAAAGUUGACUCUUUCCAAAGUCAAUACAUUGGUAUUCAUUUAUCUUUGUAUUGUGUUUGGUCAUUUACUGUGAGAAAAUUAGAGUGUUCAAAGCAGACGUUUGUUUGAAUACAUUAGCAUGGAAUAAUCAUAUAUGGCUUUCAUGUUGAUUUGAUUGGUUUGAAUAUGGAAGCAAGAUUAAAAGGGACAGUUGGGGGUAUUCAUAUUCAAUAGUCAGAGGUGAAAUUCUGGGAUUUAUGGAAGAUGAACAAGUGCGAAAGCAA
rnacentral:rRNA from 1 species